CGGUGUUCAACUGGCGUGUCCGCGGGACGUCCUGCCGGUGGGCUUAGCCCGCAAGGGCGGCCCAACUUCAAAUCCCAUCGCGGUGCUCUUCACUGAGUGUCGAGGUGGGCCGGCACGUUUACUUUGAACAAAUUAGAGUGCUUAAAGCAGGCUAAAACUUCGCCUGAAUACUGUGUGCAUGGAAUAAUGGAAUAGGACCUCGGUUCUAUUUUGUUGGUUUUCGGAACCCCGAGGUAAUGAUUAAUAGGAACGGAUGGGGGCAUUCGUAUUGCGACGUUAGAGGUGAAAUUCUUGGAUCGUCGCAAGACGGACAGAAGCGAAAGCAUUUGCCAAAAACGCUUUCAUUGAUCAAGAACGAAAGUUAGAGGUUCGAAGGCGAUCAGAUACCGCCCUAGUUCUAACCAUAAACGAUGCCAGCUAGCGAUCCGUCGACGUUCCUCCGAUGACUCGACGGGCAGCUUCCGGGAAACCAAAGCUUUUGGGUUCCGGGGGAAGUAUGGUUGCAAAGCUGAAACUUAAAGGAAUUGACGGAAGGGCACCACCAGGAGUGGAGCCUGCGGCUUAAUUUGACUCAACACGGGAAACCUCACCAGGCCCGGACACCGGAAGGAUUGACAGAUUGAGAGCUCUUUCUUGAUUCGGUGGGUGGUGGUGCAUGGCCGUUCUUAGUUGGUGGAGCGAUUUGUCUGGUUAAUUCCGAUAACGAACGAGACUCUAGCCUGCUAACUAGGCGUAUUUUCGACACCUCAAAGGUCCGUCGUCCCGGCCCUCGGGUCGUGGGCGUGCGCGAUUUUUACUGUCGGCGUACUAUCAAUUCUUCUUAGAGGGACAGGUGGCUUCUAGCCGCACGAGAUUGAGCAAUAACAGGUCUGUGAUG
rnacentral:rRNA from 1 species